CUGGAUUUUUGAUAUCCAUGAGCUGUAAGCUGUAAUCUUCAAGAUUGAAACAAAAAAGGCUUGAAAUGUUUCACUUUGUUUGUAAUGCAUCUAGGAUAUAUGAAGGUGUCACUUUUUGAUUAGAAUCACGGUAAAACAAUACAAAAUAACUUUUCCACAAUAUUAAAUUUCUUUGAGUUGCACCUGUAUUAGACGACUGCAAGGUGCAAAAACUAGUGAGUUGGUGUCCUCGUUUUUGAGACACAUCUCCGCAAGAUGAGAGCCAAGUGGAGGAAGAAGCGUAUGCGCAGGCUGAAGCGUAAAAGGCGAAAGAUGAGGCAGAGGUCCAAGUAGACUGACCCCCAUUUCCUGCUGCUGUGAUCCCCUCCCAAGCCCUCUGAAGCCUGCGGUCCUUGUGCCACAGCCGGUCCAAGGUUGUCUAAAGCUGACCUCACUGCAACUGACUAAAGGACUGAUCGUGGCUACCCAGCCCUCUAGUUUGCCAAUGGUGUAUUGCUGUCUUGACUACUGGAGUAUGCGGAGAACUUGAAUUCCCAUGUCAAACUCUGGAUUGUCCACCUUCCUAGAACAGCUGAUUUGGAAAGACUAAAAUAAAUCUUUGGUUUACUAAUUA
ensembl:lncRNA